rnacentral:rRNA from 1 species
GAUGAACGCUGGCGGCGUGCCUAAUACAUGCAAGUCGAGCGAACGGACGAGAAGCUUGCUUCUCUGAUGUUAGCGGCGGACGGGUGAGUAACACGUGGAUAACCUACCUAUAAGACUGGGAUAACUUCGGGAAACCGGAGCUAACACCGGAUAAUAUUUUGAACCGCAUGGUUCAAAAGUGAAAGACGGUCUUGCUGUCACUUAUAGAUGUAUCCGCGUUGCAUUAGCUAGUUGGUAAGGUAACGGCUUACCAAGGCAACGAUGCAUAGCCGACCUGAGAGGGUGAUCAGCCACACUGGAACUGAGACACGGUCCAGACUCCUACGGGAGGCAGCAGUAGGGAAUCUUCCGCAAAGGGCGAAAGCCUGACGGAGCAACGCCGCGUGAGUGAUGAAGGUCUUCGGAUCGUAAAACUCUGUUAUUAGGGAAGAACAUAUGUAUAAGUAACUGUGCACAUCUUGACGGUACCUAAUCAGAAAGCCACGGCUAACUACGUG